GAUGAAGAACGCAGCGAAAUGCGAUAAGUAAUGUGAAUUGCAGAAUUCAGUGAAUCAUCGAAUCUUUGAACGCACAUUGCGCCCACCAGUAUUCUGGCGGGCAUGCCUGUUCGAGCGUCAUUUCAACCCUCAAGACCCCUUCGGGGGACUUGGUGUUGGGGACCGGCAUAGGGGCCUUGCGCCCCUCGCCGCCCCCGAAAUGAAUUGGCGGCCUCGUCGCGGCCUCCCCUGCGUAGUAGCACAACCUCGCAACGGGAACGUGACGGCGGCCACUGCCGUAAAACAACCCAAUUUUAUUAGAGUUGACCUCGAAUCAGGUAGGAAUACCCGCUGAACUUAAGCAUAUCAAUAAGCGGAGGA
rnacentral:misc_RNA from 1 species